GCUGGGCGCGGUGGCUCAAGCCUGUAAUCCCAGCACUUUGGGAGGCCGAGACGGGCGGAUCACAAGGUCAGGAGAUCGAGACCAUCCUGGCUAACACGGUGAAACCCCGUCUCUACUAAAAAUACANNNNNNNNNNUGUAUUUUUAGUAGAGACGGGGUUUCACCUUGUUAGCCAGGAUGGUCUUGAUCUCCUGACCUCGUGAUCCGCCCAUCUCGGC
rnacentral:SRP_RNA from 1 species